ensembl:lncRNA
GUCGAUGACUGUCGCCCUCUUGUGGAGACAUUUGAAUGUGCUUUAGCACGCUGAACUGCAGACGAAGCUGCUGCAGGCUCAUGGCUUCCCUCCAAACAACGUAACAGCUGAAGAUGUUUUUUCAGCUUUACAUCUACAGAUCCAGUUGGAGAUGAAUCAGUUGGACUGGUGCUGAACUGAUUAUGUGUAUUCAAAGGAAGGCUGAGGCUGAUGUUGUAAUGAUUGCCACAAUGCCUCAGGAUUGUGGAUCUUUUGGAACGUAAUAUGGGUUGAAAACACCUCUGUCCUUAGAGGUUUCUAUCUUUUAGAUCAUAAGCCAAGACCCAGACCAGGACACUGCUGUAAGUAAUGAGACCCCAAGGCAGAUGAAGGCCAGGUUAAUGUAGUUUGAAGAGGUCCCAGGACCGCGACCGCUGGUUAGGACUCCAGCUCUGCCAUAUGAUUAUUUUAAGAGCUUCACCAGGUGUUCAGUACCUGCAGGCAGAGCCGUUCACAAGGGGGAAACCAGGGGUCAGAGUUUGACUGGUUAGCAUGGCCCGGUUAGCUUCUGCUAGCAGAUGUCGUAGCUGCACCAUCUGGCAACAAAAACAUCUUUCUUCAUUUACACUGACAGCCAUUCAGAAGAAGCCAUGUGUUCUGGUGGAAUACACUUUUGUGUGUGCAACUUAUGAAUUGCAAAUGUAACAUUAUAUUAAAGUAGAUUUUUUAAAAUGUUUUAUGCAGUCCAAAAUAUUUUUCAAAGAUAUGCAAAAUAUAAACACCAUGACCUGAGGAAAUAUAUUUUUAAAUUGACUUGUUUAAACCUUCAAAUGUACUUAUUUAUUACAAAAUGCAGG